AUGAAUGAAUUCGAUUUUGAAUUUAAAAUAUUUACACUAGUGGAUAAAUCUUAUUUUAUACUUAAUGGAAGUAUAACAUUAACUCUUACGUGUUUGUUAAAUCUAUCAAUUUGAUAGGAUAUGCAUUCUACGAAACUAGUUUCAAUGAUCCAACCGUCAAAUAUGUUUGUAUAUACUCCGAGAUAGCAUGUGUAAAAAAUCGCAAAAAAAAAAAAAAUUAAAAAAUGUGUUUAUUCAUUUAUUUUUAAUCAAUAUAACAUUUUAAAAUAAUAAAAUUAGACAUGAUAGAGUACA
rnacentral:lncRNA from 1 species